AUUGCCAGCUGCCAUUAAUAGUUUGCAGAAUUGUGAAAAAUAAAUCAAUGCUGUAGAUUGCAAGUGGUAAUCCACUUUCUCCAUUGGCAUUAUAGACAUAAUACACAUAAAAUUCCACAAGACCAAUUAACUUGGUAAUCCUGAGUAUUCCAUACUCAUUGGGAAAUCAGUCAGAUGCAAUUGUACCCACCCUCUGGUCAACCCUUGCCACUAGACGUUUCAGUACCUUUGCCCUGCAUAUCAUGGUUUAUGAACUCAACAUUUUAUGACUGAAUUAGCUCUUCUACUAUGAUAUUUUAUGCUCAAGUAAAUAGAAAGUAGUACAGCAAGCCGGCUGGAAUAAUGGUCAGAUGUUCACUCCUCAGUGGCAUAACUCCUAAGGGCUGUGCCCGGCAAGAGCCAGGGGCCCAGGGGGUGUGCCUUGUCAAGGAAGGUCCCUGGACUAACCUUUAUGCAGUGUUUGGAAAUUUUAAUUUAAAUAAUUAAUUUAAUUAAUAAAUUAAAUUAAUAAU